GCCUUCAUGCUACCCUGAACAAGCCCAAUCCUGUCUGAUCUCAGAAGCUAAGCAGGGUCGGGCCUGGAUAGCACUUUGAUGGGAGACCACCUAGGAAGACCAGGUUCUAUAGGCG
rnacentral:rRNA from 1 species